CCUACGGGAGGCAGCAGUGGGGAAUUUUGGACAAUGGGCGCAAGCCUGAUCCAGCUAUUCCGCGUGUGGGAUGACGGCCCUCGGGUUGUAAACCACUUUAGUAGAGAACGAAAAGGAGCUAUCGACUAAAUAGCUCUGCUGACGGUACUCUAAGAAUAAGCACUGGCUCACUACGUGCCAGCAGCGGCGGUAAUACGUAGGGUGCGAGCGUUAAACGUAAUUACUGGGCGUAAAGGGUGUUCAGGCGGCUGAGGAAGACAGAUGUGAAAGCCCCGGGCUUAACCUGGGAACCGCAUAUGUGACUGGUUGGCUAGAGUGGGUCAGAGGGAGGUGGAAUGGCACGUGUAGCAGUGAAAUGCGUAGAUAUGUGGAAGAACACCGAUGGCGAAGGCAGCCUCCUGGGACGCAACUGACGCUCAUACACGAAAGCGUGGGGAGCAAACAGGAUUAGAUACCCGAGUAGUC
rnacentral:rRNA from 1 species